UUGUAUCUUUAUAAAUAUAACAACUAAUCAUGGCACGUUAUCACAUCUCUAAGAUAUGAAAUCAUAAUCAUACAACAUGAUUAUAAUAUAGCAACUUAAGCAUAUCAUAUGCAUGAAGUACUAAUAACAUAUAUCAAUAUGAAAUACUCUUUUUGCAGUUUUUCUUCUUGAGACAUCAUAAUGGCACCCCUGCACGCCAUAAGAGUACCCCAUAGAAUGGGA
rnacentral:lncRNA from 1 species